GGGGCCGACUGGUUUUGACAGCGAGAUCAAUUGGAAUGUAAGCAUGCCGAGCGCUGGGCUACAGCUCGUUAAUCUCAUUUUCCACACUUUUUAAUUGGCGAAAAUAAUUACGCUCUUGCCGCUUAAUCUGAAUCAUAGUAGGAUUAGCCUCGUCCCUACAAGGUAGGGAAGCGAGAUGUUUCUGGGAAGCCCUUGUUGACGGCGUCCCUUUCAGAAGCACCAUCAAAGUCAACACAAGGGUAGUGAAGCUUCGGCACUAUCACCAAAACUUAAGAAGCUAAGUGUGUAUUAGGCUGUUUCUAGUCAGGUGCACAUCGAAAACUAAUUAGGAACUAAGCAUGUAGAAGGCAUUGUAAUUGCUUGUUUGGACGAGGGUUCGAAUCCCUCCGGCUCCACGA
rnacentral:tmRNA from 1 species